CGUGUAGGCGGCUAGGUAAGUGGAAUGUGAAAUCCCUCGGCUCACCCGAGGACCUGCAUCCCAAACUGCCUGGCUUGAGUAUGGGAGAGGAUGAGGGAAUUCCUGGUGUAGCGGUGAAAUGCGUAGAUAUCAGGAGGAACACCGGUGGCGAAGGCGCUCAUCUGGCCCAAUACUGACGCUGAGGCGCGAAAGCUAGGGGAGCGAACG
rnacentral:rRNA from 1 species